GCAGUUCCCACACUGCUGCCAGAACGUCUCCGGGGGGUCGGUGGAAUGAGAACAGGCUCUGUGCUCAAGUAAGGCUGAGGCUGCUGGGCCACCCCAGGGCCCAGGAGCACAGCAAAGUGACCGUCUGAGAUGAGAACAAGGCCCCACCCAGCAGAAGUGGGCCCACGGUACAGCCUCUGGGUGGACACAGGAUGCGGGGGGCUCAGGGGAGAGGCUGGCGGGACCCGUGGCUCAGUCGCCUAGCAGGUGCCUCACCACUCUUCCCCUCCGGGGCUGACCAGGGAACAUGCUUUACAAAACACAUGCCCAUUGAACGGCAGCGAGGCUUCAACACCCCAGGCAGAAAGGGGCAUCUGGGGGCAACGUUCCUGCCUGGGGGUGCAGCAGGCUACAGCCCUGAGUCAAGGCCAGUGUGGGGGCCAAGGUGGCCAUGGGGCCCAAUGGGGACUCACGUCCUGCCAGGUGCUGGAUGAUCUGGUCCAGGGAGUCGAGGAUGCAGCCUUUGGUCUGAAAGGUUAUCUGGGCUUCGGCAAACAGCUCAAAGAUGUAGCUGCAGAGGACAGAGGCUCAGGCAGGGCCCAGGCCGCCCCCUGAGAGGAGGCCAAACUUCAGAGCCCUGAGUGUGAAGGAAAAGGCAAGGCCCCACAGGGCAGCUCUGGGAGGCAGGUAAGCCCUGCCGACUGGGCCGUGAAGGCCGAAGGGCCUGGAGCAGCUGGGAAGCAAGUGGGAGUCCCACAAGGCUCUGAGCACAGUGUGACAGGUGGGCUCAGGAAGAAGGCAGGCAGCCGUGCUCCAGCACAUUCUAGAACAUUCCACACCUCAAGAACCUGAGGCUGGAUCCCAGCACAGCUGUCAAUUGUGCCCUGAGGAAAGCUACAACUGGCCCCAGGCCACGAUCCCUCACCUGCCUUUAGGAAAUAAAGCCAGGUGCCCUGGGCUGCUGAGACCACAGUCCUGCGCACCCCGGCCAGCCAUCCGGGCCUACGGGCGGCCGGAAGAGGAGGCUGGCGGGAAGAUGCGCACAGAAGCUCCUCACUCUGAAGGGUGGCUGUGCUGUCGCCCAAGGGCUGGGCCAGAGCUGGAGAGGCCGGGGCCAGGGCAGCUGGGCACUGUAAGGAGAGCCGGGCACACCCACUGUCCUUUACCUCCCUGGCUUGGUGACACCACUCUGGUCCCCCGGCAGCUCAACGGCAUCGAUGGCCCCCUCCAGGCGAAGCAGGAUCACUGUGGGCAAGGGGUCGUCAGGUGCAGCCCGCCCGGCCACGCUGCAGCGGGGGAGGGCAGCACUCACCCUUGAGCUUGGCGAGGUCUUCCAACUCCAUGCGCAGCCCUGGGAGAGCAGCAAACGCACCAUCACUUUCCACCGCCACGCACCGCAUCCUGGAGACAGGAUUCGGGCUGGAUUCCUGCCAGUUUCCCCAAGUCGUGGCGGUCUGGAGGUUCGCACAGACCCGUCCAACAGGCUCUGAACCCUUGCAGCCCGAACGCAGGCCAGAAGCAGCGGUGUGAGCUGGCGGUGUCUCACCACUAGGGACACGGGAGCACACACACACUCGGAUGCUCGCUGGAGGCCCAGGACAACGACCCAGCUACAAAGUGUCCCAGCGCCCGCAUCGUGGCUCUUGCGAGAUCAGACCUCCCGCGAGAGGAAACCAGGACUGCUUGGAGACUUGGCUGGAGCCAGAGGAGGGACAGGAAAAGCGAGGACAGGCGAGGAAUAGCCCAGUCUCCCUCAAGGCCUGGCGGGGCCACGCUAACGGCCAAAGAUGGGACCCUGAGUUCAGGGAGGAUGAGGCUUAGAGCAGACCGUGCUGAAACACAAGUACCCACUGACGACGUUAAAACUGCUGUCCUGAGGGGCGCGUGGGGGGCUCAGCCGGUUGAGCGUCCGACUUUGGCUCAGGUCACGAUCUUGCAGUUCAAGAGUUCAGGCCCCGCGUCCGGCUCUGCUCUGACAGCUCGGAGCCUGAAUCCUGCUCUGGAUUCUGUGUCUCCUUCUCUCUGCCCCUCCCCUGCUCAUUCUCUCUCUCUAAGAAUAAAUAAACAUUAAAAAAAUUUUUUUUCAACAGAAAACCCCUACUCUCCUGAGGGGGACAAGGGACCAAUAAGCAGUCGAGAAUAAACUCCCAAAUGUGAAAAUUGGGAAAAUGAAGGAAAACAAAAAAACAAGCAUCUAUUCUGCUUUUCCUAUAAAAACAAUAUCACCAGGGGCAUCUGGGGGGGCUCAGUUGGUUAAGCACCUGACUCUCGAUUUCGGCUCAGGUCAUGACCUCGUGGCUUCAUGAGUUCGAGCCCCACACUGGGCUCUGUGCUGACAGUGUGGGGCCUGCUUGGGAUUCUCUCUCUCCCCCUCUCCCUGCGCCUCCCCAUCUCUCUCUCUCAAAACAAGCUUAAGAAAAUUCUUUUUUAAGUUUUUAAUUUCAAUGAUGUCCAAUUUAUCUUUUUUUGUGCUUGUUAGUUGGCGUCUUUUUUUCUAAGGUUUUAUUUAUUCACAAAAAUCUCUGCACCCCAUGUGGGGCUCACACUCACAACCCCGAGAUGAAGCAUCACACGCUCUUCCGACUAAGCCCACCGGGCACCCCAGCUGGCAUCACUUGAGACCACGGGCCUGUGUGCAGUCCCAGAGAGGGACACCGAGGGGAACGGGCCCCAGGUGUGGGCUGUGCUGAGCGGCCUCCUUCCAGGGAGGACGGGGUGGAAAGGAGAAGUAACCAGCGACUGCAAAGAGGCCCCGCACACAAAGGGGCUCGCCUGGUGGUCCCGGCCGAGGGUCCUAAGUCACACACAGCUGGCGGGACGGGACAAGAAGGGCACUCUCCCAAGCCCGGGAGCCCCAGCACAGCCCUGAGAGAAACAUCGGAUGCAUCCGAUUAGGGCACAUGUUGCAAAAGGCCUUAUCAACCUUCCUCCCGACUGUCAAGGUUUUUCAAACUCAAGGAAAGUCUGAGAAACUCACAGACGAGAGCUGGCUGGGGGGGGGGGGGGGGGGGGGGGGUGGCUGGUGUCACGUGGUUUUCCAGGACAGAACAAGGACAUCACAUGAAAACUAAAGAUAUCAGCCACUCCACACCCACAGCACAGCCCUUCCCAGAACAAAAUUCACAUUCCUGAAACAACUGAAAAAGCCUUCAAUUUCACUCCCGGAAGGAAAGCAAACGAACGGCACACCGCAGCCCGGUCUAUUAGACCGGCAGGAUGAAAAGGCCCAAGGUCGCAUUCUGUGGCCAGGGCUGUGGGGACGCAGACCUCUGCCCACUGCCGGUGGGAGUGCAAACGGUCCCCUGCCACCAGUGAUGAGGGGCCCAGGGUUCAACAGCCCAACAGCAUGCUUCCCUGUCGACAGCAGCCCCGGAUCCUGGAGCUGACCCUGAAGUGCGUGUGCCAUGUUGCCCUCACGGCGCCGUUUGUGACCGGGGGUGUUGGGAACAGCCUAGAUGCCAUACAGACGGACAUGGGACAUCCACAGGGGGACUCAGGCAGCCGAGGAGGAGGGAGCCUCUGCAAGGGGAGGCCUUGGCCGGGCAUGCUAGGAACGAAAGCAGUAAGGUGCAAACACGCGUCUCCAAGGAGCACACGGCCCUGCGUGCAGGGGAGAAGAGGGAGGCAGCAACACACGCUUGUAUCUGCUGCUUUCGUGGGGGAAAUAUAGCCCAAAACAGAAUAAACCAGAGACUGACAAGACACUUCUCGAGUAGACGAUGACUUCUGGACCCACGUUAACAUUUCAAAUGCUCAAGAAAUAGCAAAGGCGUGAUAAAAUCAACAGAGGGAGAAAAUGCGUAAGAAGUGAAAUCUAAAGGAGAACAAAGGAAGCGGAGAGGAUGAUGAAACGACAGUGGAGCUGCAGGCACAGCCGAGCCCCAGGGCACAGUAUGCGGGCUGCACACUUGGGCCGACGACAGAACGGGUACGAGCGAGCGUUCGGCUCUGGCGAGGAAGCCUGCCGUUAUCACGGAUGCGUGAGCUGUUUAGAAACAACCGUCUGGGUAUUCCAGGAUAAAACAAGUAUCUAGGCCACAGAAGAGGACAUCUGUCCAGACCACAGCUCUCAGGCCACAGAGACACGGCCACGGUGUGGCUCCCAGACCACGACAUUUCCUCUGGUUGUGUCUCAGGCUACAGUGAGGACGGCUGGACAAAUUCUUGACAAGAGUGCACUAUCGAUGUUGGUCUCCCGAUCAGAGCAAGGCCACACGAGAGUGUCCUUGUUCUUGGGAAACAAACGCUGAGAUACAGAGUAUCGGGAAGGAUGCACAAAAAGAGAUCAUCCGUCCACAGAACUCAAAUAGAAACAGGAGAAAAACAAAAGAUGAUUUUAAAAACGAAGACUAAAUCGGAAGGAAAACCAAAGUGGAUGCCUGCCACGGCGACUUCAGAGAAACAGAAAGAGAAAGGGGGCAAUUUUUUACAAGUCAGGAAAGACACAGGAAAGACCUUGAGGCAGAGGAGGCUCUGAACGCGUCCCCGAAGAAGAAAACCGGAGCCCAUAACAAGAGCUGAGCACGGCAGGCCAGGACACUUCCGCGGACGCAGAGCAGUCUGAAACCACGUGUUGAGGGGGCACGUCGCAUGGCAGACACUGAGACACUAUGACAAAGUCACUGCGCUUUGGAGAGUUCUGAGAGGACACAGACUUGAAAAUAAAAAUCUCAAGAUAACAAGGUUUAAGAAAAACAUAAGACCAUCCAUCCAGAUAAUCCACUUCUAGGUGUCCUCUCAGAGAAACACGUAGCUGUUCACUCAAACACACGUGCAUUCGGGCGUUGAACACAGCUCUGAUUCAGCAGUUCUGAUGAAGGGAAAAUGUGAAACAGGUACACACGGGCAGGGCUCCAUGGGGGCAGACAAGCUCCUGUGAGGCUCAGGGACCUGGAGCCCGAGACCGGCUCAGGGGGCCUGCAGGGCCACACCUGUCUUCAUGACAACGCCACCCCUCAGCAUGACACACAGUUUGCCUUUCCCCUCGGAUGGACCGGCCUGGACGGACUCGGGAGACCUAGAAGACGAUACAUCUGUGUUGCCCGGCGUUGCCGGCACUACCUACCGCAGCAGCGGGAAAUGAACGCAGCACGUGAUGGGCGGUACCGCAUCAGAGCAAAAGCAGAAAGUUACGGCCCAACCACCUUUGACAAAGCCAGAUUGUUAAACAGAUCUUUUUAACCAUAAUAAGAUGCCACUCUUUCGAUUUUUAAAAUACAGUCGUUUUUUAAGAAAAACGUUCUUGGGGCACCUGGGUGGCUCAGUCGGUUAAGCGUCCAAUUUUGGCUCAGGUCAUGAUCUCACGCACAGUUCCUGGGUUCAAGCCCCGCCUUGGGCUCUGUGCUGACAGCUCGGAGCCUGCUUCGGAUUCUGUGUCUCCCUCUCUCUCUGCCCCUCCCCUGCUCGUGCUCUCUCUCUCUCUGUCUCUCUCUCUCAAAAGAAAGGAAGGAAGGAAGGGAGGAAGAGGGAGGGGAGCGGAGAGAGAUAAAGAAAGAAAAGGAAGGAAGGAAGGGAAACAAAACACUAUUUGUGUUAACAUGCCACGGACUGAACCACGUUCUAUAAAAAGAUCUGUUCAAUUCCUAACCCGUGGUCUCUGUGAGUGUGACCGUAUCUGGAAACAGGGUGUUUGCAGAUAUGAUCAAGUUAAGAUGAGGUCACUGUGCAUGACAGUGGAUCCUACUUCCGUGACCGGUGUCCUUACAAGAAGAGGGACAUUUGGACACAGACACAUGGGAGAGAAACCCGCGUGAAGACGCAACGGAGGCUGGAGGCUGGACAGACGCCCCAGACGCCUCAGGAGCCUUAGUGUGGAGCUGACGUGCGGGCCUCAGACUUGGGCCCCAGGGCAGGGGCAGGGAGAGGGGGGUCCUGUUGUUCCAGGUCGCCCGGCUUAUGGCGUGUUGUUACGGCAGCCCUGGAGCCUCACGUAACGCGUAAUGGCUCGUUACUCACAAGAACAAAUACAUCGUUGUGACCUGUUUAGUCUCUGUUUGUUUAGUUUCCAUUUCUAAUACAGUAAUCAUCGAUAAACAUAAUUCACGGGAAGACAAAUCAGUAAGGUUUCUUCUUAACUUUAACUUUUUUAGAUUUAAGUUUUCAUUUAUUUAUUUUGGGAGAGAAUGUGCACGUGAGUCAGAGAGGGGCCGAGAGAGAGGGAGAGAGAGAAUCCCAAGCAGACUGUGCACUGUCAGCACAGAGACCGAUGCGGGGCUCAAACUCAUGAACCGUAAGUCAGACACCUCACUGACUGAACCGCCCAGGCGCCCAGAAUUCAGUAAAGCGUUAAGAACAUAAAGGUCCAAACCAAAGCAUUUGAGAACUUCUGUGCCAACCACACAAGCGCCGCUUACGAACCCUCCGUCCAACGGCGCGGGGCUGUGGGCAAGCCAGCGGAGGCCUGACCGAGAGGGCAGACGCAGGUGCCCUGGGCAAGAAGGGAGCAUGGAGCCCGCAGGGGGGCCUCUGCUCCCUCUGGAGACUGUUCAGUCUCCGGUCGCAAAGAGGAAGCUCCAGCUGCCCCCGCCGGCACCCCGAGCCUGACGGCACGACACAGCAAAGCCUCUGGAGACGCCACCGUGCAGAGCGCAAACGUCCCAAACCUCUAGCAACCAGACAGGGGAGGUGCCUACGGCAGAGCGGUCCUGCUGUGACCUUGUCAGCCACUGACAGAGGCCGUGGAGCGGAUCCACGCAAACUAACCGUGGCCACCAAACACGUGCACGUCCAGCACAAUUACCCUUGUGUUCAGGAAAACACCGGGAGGGGACUGUGAGGAGAGUGAGCCACAUACGAGUAACGCUAGCGGGUCUUUGAUAAAUGACGUACUUCACAGUUAACACGUGUAGUUUUCAUUUUUAUACAGUGGAGUCUCUACCGCUGGGAAACUGUGGAAAGGUCUUCAGAGAAUGAUGGAACGGUCAGCGGGCACCCACUCCCUGCUCCGUGAAGCCCCAAGACCCUCCUAACAUAAUUCAUCUUGGGGCACCUGGGGGCUCAGUCAGUUAAGCGUCCGACUUUGGCUCAGGUCAGGAUCUCACUGCUCAUAGGUUCAAGCCCCACAUCAGGCUCUGUGCUGACAGCUUGGAGCCUGGAGCCUGCUUCUGAUUCAUCUCUGUCUCUCUGCCCCUCCCCUGCUCCUGCUCUCCCUCUCUCUUGCUCUCAAAUGUAAAACGUUGAAGAAAAAAGAAGUUCACCUUGUCCCCAAACGACUGAAGAAGGCGCUGGGACCGGAGACCACCGGGCAGCCUGUCUUGUCUCUCGUCUCCCACCUGCAAACUCACCUGAGGCGGCAGAGUCCGCACUGAAGUCCAGGUGGAACUCGCCCUGCUGUGCCACCUUGGUCUGCUCCUCCAAGACCUGGUCUAUGGCGUCCAGUCCAGAAGCCACGUCAUGGGGGGUCAGGUCGAAGGAUGCCGACUCCUCACACAUCUUUUCCUGAGACCAGCAUACACGCUACAGCCAAACGGGGCAGGGACUCGGGGGUCCAGGAAGCCAAGGUGCAGAUGAGGGUACAGGAAGCAGAGGCCCCCCCCCCUACCCGCCAAAGUCCCCCCUCCACGGUCUCUAAGGCCAGGUCACAAACUGGUCCAAAGAUGGCCAUCCAACCACACGAGUGUCUGAAACUUCGUCAGCAGAAAAUUUCCCAUUAGAAUACAGAUUUCUGGGGGCACCUGGCUGGCUUAGUCAGAAGAGCAUGCGACUCCUGAUCUGAGGAUUGAGUUCAAGCCCCAAAUUUGGUGUAGAGAUUACUAAAACAAAAUAAACUUUAAAAAAAAAAUAGAGAGGGGCGCCUGGGUGGCUCAGUCGGUUGAACGACCGACUUCGGCUCAGGUCACGAUCUCACGGUUCGUGGGUUCUAACCCCAUGUCGGGCUCUGUGCUAACAGCUUGGAGCCUGGAGCCUGCUUCGGAUUCUGUGUCUCCCUCUGUCUCUGCCCCUCCCCAACUCAUGCUCUCAGAAAUAAAUAAACAUUAAAAAAAGUUUUUUUUAAAAAUAUAGAUUCCUGGUUUUCCUCAAAAAUUCUAUCUGGCCCACUGGACCUAUCGUCCCCCAUAACAAUGCCUGGAACCAAGCGGAAGCUUGAGAGUGGCCACCACUGUCCCAGGACACAAGGCUCCAGAGCACCCAAGCAGCCUUCUUCCAGUGCCCUGGCCAAGGCCAGCCAUUCCUGGAAACACAGGCCCUGAGCGGGGGUCACAGGAACAUGUGAGGCAGGGUGCAGGUGAGAGAGAGGGGCCAGGAGGUGGCCUCUUUGAGCCGAGUCUGGUUAUGGCCACCAACGGGGAGCAUCAGGCCAGGCGUCCACUGAGAGACAAAGAGAACAAAACAGACGGGAGGGGGGUACUGGGGGGGAUUCCAGGUGGAAGUGGGCCACGGGGCCGGACGGUGUGCCUCGCCUGGGGCUCGGAAAGGUCUGCACUGCUCUCCGCAGGAAGGCGGCAAAGGAGAGGUGUGGCCAACGGCCACCCAGCUACUCACCACAUUGUGAGCUUCAUCGAAAAUCACAACCGUCCCCUUCAGGUCAAUGCUGUGCGCCCGGCGGCUCUGCACCAAGAGGGGAAGGACGCAGGGCUGGAGCCAAGAAGCACGAGGCAGGCAGGGGUGGGCCGGCCCUCCCCCUCCUCCCCAAGCGUCACCACCGCACCGCCGGAGCCGCGGGCAAUCCCCUCCACUCCACCCACCCGCCGCUGAGCUGGACUUCAGGUGGCCCUUCUGGCGACACACACGGCACGAGGGAGCAGACGCGAGCACCGCAGCUACUGCAGCCACACCCGCCUGCUGCCCUGAGGAAGGGUCUAGUCUCAGGAACUGAACGAGCAAAGGCCCCACCGGCCCCUGUGAGGCCAGGGACACCCGCUGACGUCAGCACUCGGCAGCCACGCGAGCAGACGGCUCACCUUGGCGUCCAACAAGUAGUUGUACGGCAUGAAGAUGAUGUCAGCCUGCUGCUUCAGGUUCCGAGACAGGUAGUACGGGCACAGCCUGUGGGGAGCAGGGAGGUGGCGCCGUGAGCACCACAGAGGGGGGACCAGGUCCCUGGAGGGGCUCCUGCUGCGGGGCAGGCGUGAGGAAGGAGCCCUCGUGCUGCACGGGGCCCAGACAGGAGCCGGAGCCUGGGGACGGUGGGAGGGCCCACAACUCACACCUGAGUCUUUGACCAGGGACUUCGACUGGGUCACCGAUUGAAAAUUCCACAUAAACAGGGGCGCCUGGGUGGCUCAGUCGGUUAAGCGUCCGACUUUGGCUCAAGUUACAAUCUUGUGGUUCGUGGGUUCAAGCCCCGCAUCAGGCUCUGUGCUGACAGCUCAGAGCCUGGAGCCUGCUUUGGAUUCUGUGUCUCUCGCCCUCUGUCCCUCCCCUGCUUACGCCCUCUCAAAAAUAAGUGAAUGUGCGUUAAAAAAAAAUUUUAAGCAAAAAAAAAAUAAAUUUCUACAUAAACAAAAACCCCAAUGCUAUUCCUGGGUACAGAGCUGAGGCAGUCAGAAAGAAAACGCUGAGCCCCACGUUAGCACAACUCGGAGCCUUAAAGCCGUAAGAGGCUGAUACACACAGCAGAGAGGCAGGCAUGUUCUGUGGGAACGGGCCAAGUGGGGAGGGCAGGUGCGCUGCCCACCGGCUGCUGGAAGCCACAGUGCGUCCUCCAGGAGGCCAGAGCUGCCCGUCAGCACGGUGGUGACGGCUUCCCUGCCUGUGUUCCUCAGAGACACUUCCGUUUUUCACACUGAGCAACUGUUAGCUUUAUGACCAGUCGAGGCAACGAGGACCACGGCUCAUGGUGUCCUGCCAGAACCCGCCCGGAGGACGCGGUGGCUGCUGCCUGGCUGGGAGGGGUCUUACUUGUGCUUGUUCCCACUUUUGACCAGGUCUUCAAUGUCCAGGAUGGAGGUUGUCAGCUCCUGCUCCAGGCUCUUCUCUGGGGAAAGAGGCAGGAGUAAAGACGUGUCCUCAGGCCCACUGAGUCCCCGCAGACCCCAGAGGGACGCCCAGAACAGCAUGGCUCCCACAUAGUGAGCAGUGGCCACGGCCACCCCAAGACUCUCCCUCAGGGCAAGAUGGGGGCACCCCCCCGCCAGGGACUCACCAGAGAGAACUCCUGCCCUGUCAGCCUGAGGGUCACCUGGGAAGGACCCCAGACCUUAAGCCCUGCCCUGUACCUCAGAAGGUGGCUGCUGGCCUGAGACUGAUAAAUAGGAGAGGGGAUCCCUGGGAACUUGGGGGUUACGGGGCUGGAGGGGGUGCACAGUCCCACAGCCCGUCACCACCAUCCCAGACACUCUCGAGGCUGUGCCCUGGGAGCAUCUGUCUUACUAGUAGGCUUCAGUCUGGCACCAAGUUGCUUUCUCUCCCCGCCCCCACCCCCAAAUGUCAACAGUACAGGGAGCACAGAGCAGAGGCAGGGCAGACAGGAAGGAUGGGGCGCCCCGAGGCAGAACCCACCUGACAGACCCAGGGCCCCUCCCUCGGGAUAGCAGCCCAUAAGCACCACACCCUGCUGGCUGUCCACCCUGCUGGCUGGACAGCCAGGUGGUCCAGGGCAGAAAGGCGCUCCAGAAGGGGCACAGAACCUUCCCAGGGCCCCAGGAACCCUCUGGGGAGCUGCUUUAACCCGGCCACUCGGGAGCCCUCGCCCAGGCUGGCGGGACCAGGGCUCUCCUCUAAAAAACACCCGAGGGCCCCAGGGCAGCCUCCUGUGGAACUGGGCUCCUGGCUCCCAGCCCCACUGUGGCAGGUACCAGGCCCAGUCCACUGCAGAAGCCGGAACACAGUGACCCGACCCCAAAAUGCCCCCAGGGACAGCAGGGAGAGAAGCUGCAAGCUGGCACUGCCAUAGCAACAGAGCAGCCAACCACAGGCUCUGUGGCAGGCCAGCCCGGAGCCCGGACACCUUCCUGGGGCAGGGGUGUGGGUUGUGAAGGGAUCCCAGCCAGCGCGGACCCCGGCGCGCAGAUGCUGCGGGCAGCCAGAAGGGCCCUUCGCCUGCUUCCCCAGAUGCAGGCCAGGCAGCACUCCUGCUCUGCACCUCUCUUCCUCCUACACGUGCCUCUCCUCCUCUCAGACCCCUCCUGCAGUCUCUGCUCACUCUCCCCAGAGCUGGGCAGCUUCUGGCGAUGCCCCCUCACGUCCCACGGCAGGGCAGAGGAGGCUGAGACACGGACCUCGGACAGGGCGUGCGGCAAGAACCAGAGCAAAACGCGGAGGCUGGGGAUCAGGGGAAGACCAAUGGAGGCUGGAGCCAGCAGGGCAGAUGGGACGGCACCCACACUCUGCCGUGCGGGGCGGGGAGAUCGGAGGGGGGUGGUCUGCAGCCCAGAGGACCAGCACACGCCAGCUCCAGCAUUGACUCCACUUUGGGCUGAAAGUGCCCCUCAGCUCCCACCACCCACCUCUGGACUCCUGAUCCAUCCCUGCUCCAGCACCCACCAGACAAGAAGUCCUUGACAGGUGUGAGGGGCACCCCCACCGUGGAAAAGCAAAGAUCUGACAGAUUUGGAGUCAAGGGCACCAGCGCCAGCCCUCCACUCUGGGCCCGAGGAGAGGAAGGAGUAUGCACCAAGGCCGUGGGCACCUGCACAUGCACCCAUCGAGCCACACUAGGGCCAGCUGUUGUCAUGACCCUGUGCCAGUCACUUCAGCCACCUCUGGGAGAGGCUGCCCACUCCCCGACACAGCACCAAAGGACAGAGCACUCCCAGGACUCAGGGGAGCCACGGUCAAAGGACACAUGCCGAAAUCAGAAGGAAAAGCCGGUGGAGUUCGGGAGACCACGGAGAAGCUUCCAGAACCCCCUCCCUGAGCUAACUCCCCCAGAAUGAGCCGAGACUACGUGUGAAAUGCUGUCUACUGGGAGGCUCGCCAGAAGCCCAGCGCCCAGGGCUUUUGCUGGGGGCUGGUCACGUAGGCAGCCCUGGCUGGAGAGCACCCCAAUUCCAGACUCUGCUCAGCAUAAACCAUGUUGUUUGCACCAACAGUUUAGGCCCUGAGAGCCCCUACCAGGGAAUGGUGAAGCCCUGAAAUCCCAGUUCCCAGACCGCAGCAAGGCCAGCCUUGCCAGGAGGCCCCUCUGGGAUGGAGGCCUCUCCUGCCCCGGCGUAUGAGCCGUUCUGCACACGACCCAGGGCAGACCCGCGGCCAGGAGACAGUGCUCGGACCACUGCACCUCGCGGAGCCCCCGCGGCCACUCUGGAGCCCGAAGGGGAGAGCCAGCAGGCCACGAGGCCUAAGAGGCUGCACGUGCUCCAAGCCCACCUGGCUGUACGCUGAGCGAGAAGCAGGAAUGGCUUCCACGAACCCCCUCUCACCUUCCACGUUGUUGUAGAAGUGACAGGAACGACUGGCCACCUUUUUCCGGCACAAGUGGAUCUGGGAAAAAGAGGGAGCAGGCCCGGCGGGCCCAUGGUCAAGAAAGGACAGCGCACCGGGCCAGCCAGGGAGCACCCUGCCUGAUGUGUGGAGAGCGAGUCCUGUCCCGGCCCUGCCCCCACCAGCUCUUCACCGGGCUGUCCCGCGGGGCACAGCCGAGGGAAAGAGCCACCCCAGGAGCCCACCUGCAUGUGGUUACUCUCCUGCUUCUUCACCUCAGGGUGGAUACACAGCUGCUCCCGGGAACCCAGCACACAUACCCUGGGCCUGGCAGAAGAGAGAGCCGUGGGGUCCAAGAACCAGAGGGCACCAGCCCCCAGCGCCAUCCAGCAGCAAGAGCAUGCGCUGCGGGGGGCACAGCGGGAGACAGAACUCACAAGAGGGAGUGGCUGGGGCCAGAACGGACCCAGGCUUGGGCGGCACUCUCUCUCGGCUGCAUCGCCCAGAGUGAGCAAGGAGACAAGGCAGGGGAAGCAGGGCAGACGGAGGAGACCCCACCUACUCUGUGCUCCCCCACCCAGGAGGCUGGGGCAGGACGCCAGGACCCCCGCAGCUGUGCAGGGCUCCGACAGAGGCAGGGCCGCCCCCUUCACGCGCCUGCCACGGUGACCCGCGCCCGCAGCUGACACCACACUGCUUUCCAGGACCUCAGGCUGCCGCUAACCCAGCCGCUUUCUCAUAAGCAGUGGGCAGCAGGGUCAGCCUGGCCCGCACACAGCCCUGGACGUGGAGCAGACAGUACCCUCCGGGCAGGGUCCAGGCAGAAUGCCACCAUCAACCACCUGGCCAAGGCCAACCCCCCGUAACUCCGAGGCAGGGGUGAGUGCCGCCUGGCCCUACCGGUAGGAGGUGCUCCGAAGCUCGCUGAUGACCUGAGUGAGCUGCGAGUGGGUCCUGGAGGCAUAAAUGAUCUUUGGGACGUCCGAGUAGCAGGCUGCCCAGACACAAGGAAGCAGGGCAGGUCACAGUUCCGGCAGACAAUGUUCUCGCAGGCUGUUAACCCAAGGGCACGUGGCCAACUCGACCCUGCGCACCUAGCCCCAGGAACGAGCUAUGUGGCUAGCCGCGGCGUUCUAGUGUGAACACGUGGCUCCGACCUGAGGCUCACGGCCAGAUGCUAGGAAAGAACGGAGCAGCCUCACCAGCCCACUCUGUCCCUGCGUUUCUUCUCUACGGAGCCCCAGAGGGGCCGAGAGGAGCCUCACCUGUGCUGUCUCCAUCAGAAGUGGCAGCUCCCCAGGACAAGGUGUGAUCGACAAAAAGCCCCCCCUGCGCCCUCUCGGCGAUCUUGCGGGCAGAGAUGGUGUCACGGAGGUGCUCCCGCCAGGCCAGCGUGGUGCAGAGGAGGCACAGUGUCUUCCCUGUGCCUGUGGGGCUCUCCAGGAUGCCAUUCACUUUCUGAACGGGGUCAGGAACAAGGUCACGGGGAAGCAGAGAGAGGCAGUGCAGACCACACUGCCCACCUGACACUGGUCUGGGGCAGUUCUGUCCAGGCAGAGCCCACCCAGCAGGUGGCGAAAGGCCUGGGGAACAGUGGACAACUGGACAGUGCUUCCACUCUCAAACCAAAAGCCAAAAGCUACCGGGUUAAUUCAGCCCUCAUUAACAAACAGCUUGCAGAACAUCACCUAAAGUAUUUUUCCACGUAACAUAAGUAGUAAAGUGACUAAUUAGGUUCCAAGUCUCAAGACAGAAGACUGUUCUGCAACUUUGCAUGCAGACAUUCGCACUGUCUGAACAGAACCUGACAACCUAUGUAGACCUGCAUGCACAGGCGGGAGCCCGAGCCACAAACCCUGAGACACACAAAGGCACAUCAGCAAAGCUGUGCCCCUCGCUCCCGGGACUGGGCACCAGGCUCCUCACUGCAGGAGUCCGUGUCCAGAACAGCAGUCAGGAGCCCCUCAGGGGCUGGGAGCUUCAGGAGGGUGUGAGAGAGCCUACCAAGAAAGCCAGCAGGAAGCAGCCCGCACCCCCCCCCCCCACCAACUUUCCUGCACACCCCUGGGGUUUGAAGACCUUCCAAAAUGACAGUUGGGCACUGACUAUCCCUCCAUGUGGAAAUACCUCCCCCGGAUCCUCAAGUGGGCCUCAGGGUGCUCCCAAGCCUAUGACCUCACGACUAUCCUUAGGAGUGAAAAGUGUCUUUUUCCGCCUACUUCCCUAUCGUCUUUCCUAGAACCCCAGCCCCAUUUAUGACUGAGUCCUGUAUCCAGAGGGAGACCUCAUUCCCAGCAGGGCCCAGCAGGAGUGAACAGGAAGGUGGACCCACUCCCAGGGCACAAAGCCCCCCAUCUGCAGCUGUACCUUCUGCAGACACUCCAGGACCUUGCUCAUGUACUCCUCCUGGCAUUUGUACGGCUGGAAGGGGAAGUCCACUGUCACACCAUUCAGGGCUAUCUUGGGCAUACUGGCCUGUUCUCAGGAAGGCACUGAGGCUGGCUGAUAAGCAGGCUGUGAGACAAAACCCCUCCGAACAUCUCAGGAUCUCCGCCACUGCGGGUAAGUGAUGCCAGCCAGCGGCGCUGGGACGUGACCCUGCUCCCAGCAGGAAGCCCUAUGGCAGAGACGGCAAGACUGCUUAUAGCAGGCCUUUCUGGAGUGCCAAGCCACCUCACCGAUCGAUGGGGCAGGCCCUCCCCCCCUGCAAGGUCGAAGGCAAGCCUGUGAUGUCCUAUCAUAAGGAGCUCGGGAAGAUGAGGAACCUACACGUCAGCCCUGCCUCGUUCUCCCGCCCCGCGCAGCUGGGUCCUGCUCGGGGAGAGUCGGCCAGACCCACAGAAACAACGACAGCCGGAGCCUGGGUGCAGUCCCACAAGCUCCGCCUGCAGUAAUUUCACUUAGUGCCAGCGGAGCUGGAGAGGCCAGACCCCCGGCUUGGGCCGGCCUCAACGUCCAGUCCCAGUUUCGCCUGGACACUGGGGCUAACGGACAGUUCACGUAAACACCGAAUGAUGGCCCUCCCUGCAGAGCCCGGCCCGCAGGGGAACCACCGCCCGGGAACCGGCUCCGCGCGGCGCGGGGCGCAGGCCACGAGAACAGGAAAACUACCGGCCCCAGAAGGCCGCGCGGCAGAAUGGCCGACGCGCGGGCGCAAAGUGGCGCGGGGCCUGCCGGGAGCUGCAGUUUCGGGAGGCGCCGCUCGGGUAAAAGUAUCUGUUCCAGGGUCUGUGCGAUUCACGGCCCAACGUGUGUCCGCGGGGAGCCUUGCACGACCCGGGGUCCCCAGGAAUUUACCCCAGUUUACCGAAGCACGACACCGCGUCUCCUCCGCCGUCAGCCGGUUCGGACUUGGCGGGCUGAGGCGCACAAUCGUCACUGAACGCGCUGCACUUCCGUCCCUAAUUCCGGUCCGCUGCACGUCGCUCCCCGCGGAAACCGUUCCGCUGCGGAGGGGUCCGCGCGCUCGGUUCCAGGCCCCACCCUGCCUCCGCCGUCGACCCUGAGCCUGGGGAUCGGCACCUCCAUCGCCCGCAGGCAGAAACCUAGGGUUCCAGCCGUCUCCUCCCUCGAUGCUUUCCCCACCAGAGCCUGCAUUCCAUCACUCCUCCCUGGGCUGAGCCACCUGGAUUGUCCAGACAAUUGCACAAACCUUCGGAUUGGUUAGCUGUGAUCCCUCCUCCCCUUUUCUCCCCAAGGGCUGCUCGGGCCUGGAGACCCUCAGCCGACUUUCUAGCCAAUGUCCCCCCCGACUGGUGAGGGUAGACCCCCCUGACUCCCCAGCACCUAGCACCGGCUGGCAGUCAGCAGUGGGACCAAGGGGUCUGCACAACUCUGUAGGCUGUAGGUAUUUGUAGAUGACCCCAGCCUGUCCCAAAAGGCACCAGCCAGCUGGCAAUGCUGACAUCAGAGUUUCUCAUGGGCUCUGUUUAAUGCCUAGAUGUGUGACAUCGUGCUUAGAGAAGCACGUGGACCACUGGCAUCCACCCCCCCCCCCACCUGUCCCACCUGUGAGGGGGUGUGCAGUGUUUGUCUUAGACUCUCAGCUAGAGAUUGGAGAAGAUGAGGAGACCUGGCCACACACUUGCUGAGUACUCACUCCAAACAGAUUUCACUACCAUCCACGCAGGCAUUGACAUGUUUGUCUUCCUAAUGGCCUCUGAGAUAAGUUCUUUUAUUAUCCACACUUCACAAAGAACAUGCUAGGUGGUGAGCAGAUCGCCCAAAGCCAGCAGCUAGCAAGUCUCAGAGCCAGGAGUCCUCCUCUUCAGGUCCACACACCCCUGUCUUCUAAAAGCAGAGGUGUUGGUGCUUCCAGAAGUCCAAGGAAGGUAGGGCAGGGCCCAGAGACUCGAGCCCCCUGGGCAGGACUGGAGCUGAGGACUCUGAGACCCUGAGUUGAUGCAUGAGCUGCCUGGUCACAAACCACACAUGGGGACUGCCAGGCCUCCUACAAAUUAUAACCUACAAAUUCCGUGUACUGAAUUUAGCCACGAAAGAUGAGAGGGAAUGGACACCAAGGCUGAAGGAUGACCAUAGCCAGCCCUGCCCAGCAGGCACAGAGGUCUUGAUCAAGUCAACAAAUUUGAGUUGAGCCUGCUGUUACGGGCUUUGUGAGAUACCCAUGUGGGUCAGACACUAUGUGGAACACAAGACAGAUGUUAACACACUC